rnacentral:rRNA from 1 species
CUGGCUCAGGAUGAACGCUGGCGGCGUGACUUAACACAUGCAAGUCGAACGGAGUUUUAACGGAAGUUUCGGAUGGAAGUUUAAGAACUUAGUGGCGGACGGGUGAGUAACGCGUGGGUAACCUGCUCAUACAGGGGAUAACAGUUAGAAAUGACUGCUAACACCGCAUAAUAUAGUGAAACCGCAUGAUUUUGCUAUCAAAUAUUUAUAGGUAUGAGAUGGGCCCGCGUCUGAUUAGCUAGUUGGUGGGGUAAAGCCUACCAAGGCGACGAUCAGUAGCCGGCUUGAGAGAGUGACCGGCCACAUUGGGACUGAGACACGGCCCAAACUCCUACGGGAGGCAGCAGUGGGGAAUAUUGGACAAUGGGGGAAACCCUGAUCCAGCGAACCGCCGCGUGAGUGAAGAAGUAUUUCGGUAUGUAAAGCUCUAUCAGCAGGGAAGAUAAUGACAGUACCUGACUAAGAAGCCCCGGCUAACUACGUGCCAGCAGCCGC